AAUCAUCAACUCUUAUUUCUUUUUCAGAGAUAAGAGCUUGGACUUGGAGGUCUUUGCUGGCUUUUUGUGCCGGCUCCUCUUGAAUGCAUUAGCUUGAACCUUUGCUGUAUCGGCCUUGGUGUGAUAAUUGUCUACGCCGUGGCUGUGAGGCUCAUUUUAAACGGGCUCAGCUUCCAAUGGUCUGCUUGCGGACAACAUCUCAUUGAC
rnacentral:misc_RNA from 1 species